ACAGGAGCCUGUCAUCAGAGGGUUCAUCCAGCCACUAAGGGAAACAGAUGCAAAGACCCAUAGCCAAACACUAGGCAGACCUCAGUGUGUCUUGUGGAAGGGUCAGGGGAAGGAUUAAUGGAGCUGGAACAGUCAAGGACACCACAAGAAGACAUACAGAGUCAGGGUCCUUCUGUGCCAUCUUGAAGAGGACCAGUACGUCGUCCAGACACUGUUGUUGGUACUUCACCCCAAAUUUCCAAGUUUUGUAUUCCCCUUUUGCUAUGUAUGAUCUUAUCAGUUGGAAGGAAAAGCUGGCCACAAGCUGG
rnacentral:lncRNA from 1 species